GGGCCGGACUUCCAAUUAAAGAAAAUAAAAUGUAUUUAUACCUAAAAUACCUAUGCUUGUUCAAUAUUUUCACUUUCUAACUGAAGUAAUGCUAUAUUUUUUUUUUUACAUGUAUUAGUGUGAGCAAACUCCUAAAAAAACAUGGAAACUCCAUAAUGAUAACGGGCUUUUAAACUAGAAAAUGAUCUCAGACUAGGAGGCAGUUCACUGAGGAGUGAUGGGUUGUAGAAAGAUAAAAAUAUGC